rnacentral:rRNA from 1 species
GAUGAACGCUGGCGGCGUGCCUCAAACAUGCAAGUCGGAGCGGGGCUAUGUAAUAUCGCAAGGUAGAACAUAGCCUAGCGGCGGACGGGUGAGUAACACGUGGGUAACCUGCCUGGAAGACAGGGAUAACGAUUCGAAAGGGUCGCUAAUACCUGAUAAUAUCCUUUCAUCGCAUGGUGAUAGGAAGAAAGGGGAAACCCGCUUUCAGAUGGGCCCGCGUCCCAUCAGCUAGUUGGUAAGGUAAAGGCUUACCAAGGCGACGACGGGUAGCCGGUCUGAGAGGAUGUAUGGCCACACUGGGACUGAGAUACGGCCCAGACUCCUACGGGAGGCAGCAGUUGGGAAUCUUAGGCAAUGGACGAAAGUCUGACCUAGCGACGCCGCGUGAGGGAAGAAGGCCUUCGGGUUGUAAACCUCUGUCAUGGGGGAAGAAGGAAGUGACGGUACCCCAAGAGGAAGCCCCUGCUAACUACGUG